rnacentral:misc_RNA from 1 species
GAUGAAGAACGUAGCGAAAUGCGAUAAGUAAUGUGAAUUGCAGAAUUCAGUGAAUCAUCGAAUCUUUGAACGCACCUUGCACCCUUUGGCUAUUCCGAAGGGUAUGCCUGUUUGAGUAUCAUGAACACCUCAACUCUUAUGGUUUGCCAUGAUGAGCUUGGACUUUGGGGGUCUUGCUGGCCUGUGGUCAGCUCCUCUCAAAUGGAUUAGCUUGCCAGUGUUUGGUGGCAUCACAGGUGUGAUAACUCUCUACGCUUGUGGUUUUCCACCAGGUAACCUUCAGCAAUGGGGGUUCGCUGGGGCUCAUAAAUGUCUCUCCUCAGUGAGGACAGCUCUUUGAACGUUUGAUCUCAAAUCAGGUAGGACUACCCGCUGAACUUAAGCAUAUCAAUAAGCGGAGGA